UAACGCCCGGGUAUUACGAGCAAUGCUUAAAACCCAAAGGACUUGACGGUGUCUCACCCACCUAGAGGAGCCUGUUCUAUAAUCGAUAAUCCCCGCUUUACCUAACCAUUCUUUGCCUAAUCAGUCUGUAUACCUCCGUCGGAAGCUUACCAUAUGAACGCCCAUAGUAAGCCCAAUGGUCACCCACCAACACGUCAGGUCAAGGUGCAACUUAUAGGAUGGAAAGAAAUGGGCUACAAUUUCUAAAUUAGAACAAACGAAAGGCUGUCUGAAACCCCCAGUCAUGAAGGAGGAUCUAGUAGUAAAAGGGGAAUAGAGAGCUCUUUUUAACCCGGCACUGAGACGCGUACACACCGCCCGUCACCCUCUUCAAUAGUUAUUCGUCUAGAUUAUUAACAAAUUAACCACGCCUU
rnacentral:rRNA from 1 species